rnacentral:rRNA from 1 species
CGUAUGGUGGAUGCCUUGGCACUAGGAGCCGAUGAAGGACGUGACUAACUGCGAUAUGCUUCGGGGAGUUGUAAGUAAACUAUGAUCCGGAGAUUUCCGAAUGGGGAAACCUAACAGGUUUUACCGCCUGUUAUCACUAAGUGAAUUCAUAGCUUAGUUGAAGGUAGACGUGGGGAACUGAAACAUCUAAGUACCCACAGGAAGAGAAAGAAAUUCGAUUCCCUCAGUAGCGGCGAGCGAA